UAGUGUGAUGAAGAAGCGUAUGCAUCUGGACUUCGACAAGGAAAACCUCCUGUUUGGUAUUUAGUCGAGUGUCCGGUACAAGAAGGUGGACUUGCGUGUGGGUAUUACGUCAUGAGGUUCAUGCUCGAUAUCGUCAACUAUUGCAAAGAUGUUGGUGAUCUUCGAAAGGUUUAUGCGAAUUCCACACCACGUUUGAGGAACUUCACCAAAGAAGAAAUUGAUGAAGUUCGGGAUAAGUUGGCGUCCCACAUUACCGAUGAUUGCAUAGGAUGAGAUUUAGCCCGAAUGUAAAAGUUUCUAUCAAUCCUAUGUACACUUUUUACAUUAUUAAAUAUAUAUGAAGUUAAUUAUUACCUUUCUCCA